CCUACGGGAGGCAGCAGUGAGGAAUAUUGGUCAAUGGGCGUAAGCCUGACCCAGCCAAGUCGCGUGAGGGAUGAAGGUUCUAUGGAUCGUAAACCUCUUUUAUAAGGGAAUAAGGUGCGGGACGUGUCCCGUUUUGUAUGUACCGUAUGAAUAAGGAUCGGCUAACUCCGUGCCAGCAGCCGCGGUAAUACGGAGGAUCCGAGCGUUAUCCGGAUUUAUUGGGUUUAAAGGGUGCGUAGGCGGUCUUUUAAGUCAGGGGUGAAAUUCUGUGGCUCAACCAUGGAACUGCCGUUGAAACUGGGAGGCUUGAGUAUGUGUGAGGCAGGCGGAAUGCGUGGUGUAGCGGUGAAAUGCUUAGAUAUCACGCAGAACCCCGAUUGCGAAGGCAGCCUGCCAGGCCAUGACUGACGCUGAUGCACGAAAGCGUGGGGAUCAAACAGGAUUAGAUACCCGAGUAGUC
rnacentral:rRNA from 1 species